rnacentral:lncRNA from 10 species
ACGGUGGCUCCGCGCUGGCGGCGGGUUCCCCCACAAGGUCUUGGGGAAAGGAGCAUGCGCUGGAAGCUGUGUGCUGUUGGUUUUGAGGAUCUUCAGUAAGCUGAAAGCGGAGAGUCAGGGGCCUUGUGUCCUACCAUGGUAUUUGCUAACGUUUAGAGAGUGCUUCCCCUUGCCGAGCACUGGAUGAUGUCAGAAGUGGGAUCCGAAGUGGAGCUUCUGGUGACGCCCAGGAGUGCUGAGUGAACACGCAAGAACCCAAAGAUUGGAUCUUCUGAGAACAUCAGAGAAAGACUGUCCUUACCAUCCACACCACAGCAAAACUUUGGAGCCUUGAACAUUGGGUUCAUAAUCUCACAGCUGAGAAAGGUCCCUCCACACUCCUGGAACUGUACACCUAUUGGAACCCUUAAGCCAUCUCUAGAACGUCAAGUAGUCUCUCUUCAAGUGGAAUGACAAAAACUGAAAGAAAUGUGCGACCAUGAGGACAUUGUACCCUAUGAAUGACAUGCUGGGACUGGAAACCCAAAAUGACGGUAACUGAGAGUGGUGCUAAGGCCCUAAGUUUUGGUUACACUCUCACCUAAGUGAGAACCUGGCCAAAAAGGGGGAA